rnacentral:lncRNA from 1 species
UGCACCCUGGCCUCCGUGACACAAACACACCUGCACACAAAUGCCUGCCCACGUGCGGCCGCCCAGUGUGACGGCAAUCCCGCGCCUGGACCAGGCUCACCCUGCCCCUGGCUUUGUCCUCCCUGUAGGCCCUUGUUCUAGACUCCUGGCAGCAGUCACGGCAUUUCUGAGUGGUCUGGGGAGGCGUGGGGCCUUCCUCAGACAUCAGGGAGCCAGACCUCCAAGAAUCUGUAGGGUAUGCCCGUCCCCAUGUUCGUUCUCUACACCGUUACCAGAGUGACCUUUGUCCAGUAAUGAACGUCUGCUUAAAGUCCCCACUGGGACCCCAUCACCUUCAGAAGAUUGCCUCAGCUCUAGGGUCAUCCCGCUCACCCGUCGGACCACCUGUUCCACCAGGUAACCACAUGUACCCUUUGCUUCAACCUGCAAGCCCUCCCUCGCCUCCGAGCUUUCACCCACAGUCCCUUUCCUCCUAAUUCCCACUCGUCCUUUACAUGUAGUUUCUGUGCCACCCUUCUAGGAACACUUGCCCUGCCUGGCACUCCCUGCCAUCCUUAUCAGAUCCUGGCUCCCCCUUCUGGGUUCCCUGAACAUUUAGGGACAGCUCUUGGAGAGUGAUCAUCACAAUGCAUAGGGCUGGCUGAUUUAUACCCACCUCCACCUUUCUGGGGGGUGGGGGGACCUCUCACUGUGUCUGUUGUUCAACAAAUGCUGCUGGUAAAAGUAAAGGAUGAAGAGAAGGGAUGUUGAGAAUCCUAAUGCAGACACAGCUGCUUAACAAAAACCAUCAUCUGGGGUCAAACCAAGAGCUAAACAGAGCAGUGUUCUGGCUCUGACAGCCGUUCCAGAGACUUUUCUGGAAAUCGAGAUAGAAUCAUAGCAUGUAAAGCUGGAAGAGCCAUUUAAGGCCAUCUGAUUUAACACUCAAUUUGACAGGGCCCAGAAAGGUGAACCGGACUCCCUGGGCGCCACAGCUUGCAGAACAGAAUGGACUCCUAGACCUCAAACCCACUGCUUUUACACUUUCACUCUGCUGCCCCCUGAAGGGAAAAUUGGGAGUGUUCUCUAGAAGCUCUAAAGUCCCUUAGAAAUCCAUUGUGGGGAAAACAAACAAACAAACACCAUUAUGUCCUCAGCAUCUGUGAUUAGUUUUAACAGUCUUCUUUACCAAUUUAUAAUCUCAAUAUUCUUAGAGAUAACGAAUAUCCUUAAUUUACAAGUAUCAUGAAAAACCAUGUAAAUUGUAUGCCUGGCUCUCUUUGUCCGAGAGCUUAGCCUUAUACUGAGCACAGAUCAGCCUUGGGUACACUAUCCCCCUUUAACAUGUGGUAGAGCUCAGAAUUAAACACUAUUUUCAAAGAUAACUUGCUUCUCAUCGUAUUCUUCCAGCAGCUGCCUGACAUUAUCCAAAGCUGUUCUUAGCUCGCAUCCUUGCCCUUCUGUUCAUAUCAAAUGGUGUGUCGAUAUUAGGGCCAGCCUCCAUCAUACCUCAUUCUUCUUUUCUAGAACUCGGUUAUUUACUUAGCACAUACUGUGUCAUGCAUGUUUUUUCUGUAUUUUGGCUUUUGAUUUUUAUUAAAAAAGAGUCUCUCUUUUUUUUUUUCUUUCUAGACAUCUUUAUCAAGCACUUCAAAGAAUUUCCAUAAUCCCUGACUUCAGGGAUUGUGGAAAGAAAACACACAAAGCAAUUCUUGUCUGCGAUUUGAAAUGUUCAAUAUGCAAAUCUCAGAGUUUCCUGUAAGGACAGGCCCCUGCAGGUGGACUGGCUGGCGGGACUCCUCAUUUAUUACGUAGUGAUUUACAGCCCUCUAGUGGGUCUUCAAAGUAACAUUAAAAGGACGCUGAGGGUAUUGACUUAUGGCUUUGUUCUUUUGUUCGUCCCUUCAUUUGUUCCUUCCUUCACUCAUUAAUUAAAUAAUUCAUUCAUUCAUUCAAUGUACAAAUGCGAGUGGAGUACCUACAUAUGUUCCAGCACGUUUUAAGUACUGGAGAUACUGCAGUGAACAAAAUAAACAACAACAAAAUCUUAUGUAUUAGGUACUUAAGACAAAGAAGACAGCGAGUAGGACACAUUUGGGGCAAAAAUCAGGAGCUUGGUUUUGAAGAUGCUAAGUUAGAGAUACCCACUAAGUCUUCCAACUAGUUUCCCUUCAAACUUAGUUGGUUUCUCUGAGAACACCUGUAGAGCACUUGUGAACAGAACACACACACACACACACACACAUAAUGCAGAUAAUCUCUUUAUUUGGGAUUUCACCACAUUUAAGUUAAAACUGAUCACAUGAGCAAGAGGACUGUGAAGACAGUGAAUUAGGCCCUGGGUGUGAGAGAGAAGCUCUCGCCUUGGCCACGCUCUCAUGAAACUGCUCGGCUCUGAGCUCUCUGUUUAAAUGUUAUCUCAGUUUCUGUCUCGGUUCUGUUUUCUUGAUUCCUACCACAAUGUGUAAUGGCUGAAUUUCUCUGUACACAAGACCCAUGAGUACAUCUGCCGCCUCCACCCCCAGGGCUGCGAGUGAGUCCUACUCACUGUGGUAUCUCUGGCACCAGGCAGGGUCUCGAUUUCUAUCUGUUGAAGGAUGAGUUUUUGUUGUAAUGGGUCAGGUAAGACAAUAUACAUGAGAAGCUAGUGAUGUAGACCAGUAUAUGGCAUAUUCUGAAUGAGUAAAAAACACAGUUAAUUCCUCGUUUAGGCAACCACCGUGGGUUGCAGGUAGUCAGGGAAAUUUUCAGGGAAGAAACUGAGUGCAAUCGCAUCUUAAAAAAUUAGUGGAAAAUGGAGAAAAGAGAGAGGAAGUGACAGGGGAUGAGGUGUUUCAUGUAAGGUGCUCCUGAUUGGCCUCCACAUGCUUCUUGGCCUCCAGUGUCUCUGCUCUAGUGUCUAGGGAGCUCUGCUGGGCUGUCCUGCCCCUUACUCCCACUCAAUGGUAUGGACUAACUCUGGCCGGGCGUUAGGGUUUCUCAUGCUUUUUUCUAUGUCGCUUUUUUCUUUGUCCUCGUGAACAUGACUCCGCUGUCUCUUCUAUAAUGAACACCUAGCAUACCAAUGCCUAUCAUUACACCUGGCACACUGUAAAUGCUCAAUAAAUAUUUGUUGAGUGAACAUAUAUAUCUAGAAGCCACUCUCCAUACUCCUAGGAUGGCCUUUCCCCAAUAUUCUCUGCCAUAGGGCUGGGGCAUUUGAAACAAGAGUACUUUGGGGCUCACUCCAGACCCUUGCACAAUUAUAAGCUACUUUCUCAUACUUUAACAAAAAUGUAUUGCAUGCCUCCUUUCACAGGACUUCUCUUGGCUGCCAGGAGCUUGGAGCUGAGCUACUGUCAGACCCAUGUCAACAAAUAAUGAUAAAUAACAAGGUAAGUGUUGGUUUAUGUACAAGGUGGUCUGUGAACACCGGUGUAGAUGGAAAAACUGCUUGUUUUAGCAUGCUAGAAGAAGCUUCCUAGGGUACAGGAUAGAAAGUUGGCACCGAAUAUUGUAAGACAAGUUGUGUCCUCUGGACAGACAUGGGGGGUGAGGGAGUGGUUAGGGGAGUAGGGUGGAUAGUAUUCCAGGCAAACGAAAUAAGGGGUACAAAGGUGAUGGUGGUAGUGGUGGUGGUGGUGGUGAGAGAUGAGAAAGUGUGCCAGGUUUGGGGAAUUGGGACAAAGCAUGAGAGCCAGUGGGUGGCCAGAGAGAAGGUGCAGGAUUGGAUUUAGGGCAGGCCAGCCAAAGAGCCCCAUAUGUGUCAAUCUUUAACAGGUCUAAAAUUAAAAAAAAAAUACAAUGCUAAUUAACUCAGACACUUGUGGCUUCUUACAUAACUUUUGAAACCUAAAUUGGCCCUAUUCCCUUGAGGUAAGACCGUGUCCUUGCAUGUUACUUUAAAAAUUCUCCCGGCUGGCAAUUCCAAUUAUAUAUUCAGUGCAUGUAAGAAAUUCCUUAUUUUUAAUGUAAAGAGGUUUGUAAUUCUUAUUAAUAGAAAAUCCAGUUCUUCUCAACUCCAUGCUGAACAGAUAUUUAAAGAAAAUUGACCUAUUUAUGUACUGCCAAAUGAUUAGUCUCCUGGUAAUGGACUUUUCCUCCAUCCAGGGCUGGCCCCUUCUCCCAGGUAAAAAUGGGACUGCUCCAUCGAUUACCUGAGCUGGGCACCCGAAGAGGCUAUAUCUUAUGAAGCACUGCCAAUUAAUUAUGUUUGGCACCCCAGAUAACCUAUGUGGUAGUCUUCUCUAAUAAAAAAAAUUUUGUAGGAGUCUAAAAGAUAAAAGACUGUCUCUGCCUUAGAGCCACCAUAUUCUCCUGGGUAUUCCAAAAUAUCAAGGACUUGCAUAUUCUACACUGCGGUUUUGCACACAUCCUGUGCAUGUUAAACAGGACUGUACGUUUAGUGUUCAAAAAUAUAGUCUCUCUGAUCUCUGGGUGGCUCAGUGGUUUAGCGCCGCCUUCGGCCCAGGAUGUGAUCCUGGAGUCCCGGGAUCGAGUCCUACGUCGGGCUCCUGCAUGGGGCCUGCUUCUCCUCUGCCUGUGUCUCUGCCUCGCUCUCUGUAUCUAUCAU